rnacentral:rRNA from 1 species
UACGUAGGGUGCAAGCGUUGUCCGGAAUUAUUGGGCGUAAAGAGCUCGUAGGCGGUUUGUCGCGUCGGCUGUGAAAACUUGGGGCUCAACCCCAAGCCUGCAGUCGAUACGGGCAGACUAGAGUGUGGUAGGGGAGACUGGAAUUCCUGGUGUAGCGGUGAAAUGCGCAGAUAUCAGGAGGAACACCGGUGGCGAAGGCGGCUCUCUGGACCACAACUGACGCUGAGGCGCGAAAGCUAGGGGAGCAAACAGG